GGCCGGUUGGCCUAAUGGUAAGGCGUGGCUCUCCUAUUGAACUGCCAGAGUUUGGUAGUGAAGCCAAGAUUGCGGGUUCGAGUCCCGUAUCGGUCG
rfam:TPA: Aspergillus nidulans FGSC A4 chromosome V